rnacentral:rRNA from 1 species
CAGUAGCCGCGGUAAUACAGAGGGUGCGAGCGUUAAUCGGAUUUACUGGGCGUAAAGCGUGCGUAGGCGGCUUUUUAAGUCGGAUGUGAAAUCCCUGAGCUUAACUUAGGAAUUGCAUUCGAUACUGGGAAGCUAGAGUAUGGGAGAGGAUGGUAGAAUUCCAGGUGUAGCGGUGAAAUGCGUAGAGAUCUGGAGGAAUACCGAUGGCGAAGGCAGCCAUCUGGCCUAAUACUGACACUGAGGUGCGAAAGCGUGGGGAGCAAACAGGAUUAGAUACCCCAGUAGUCCCUGUCUCUUAUAC